rnacentral:rRNA from 1 species
GACGAACGCUGGCGGCGUGCCUAAUACAUGCAAGUCGAACGCUUCUUUUUCCACCGGAGCUUGCUCCACCGGAAAAAGAGGAGUGGCGAACGGGUGAGUAACACGUGGGUAACCUGCCCAUCAGAAGGGGAUAACACUUGGAAACAGGUGCUAAUACCGUAUAACAAUCAAAACCGCAUGGUUUUGAUUUGAAAGGCGCUUUCGGGUGUCGCUGAUGGAUGGACCCGCGGUGCAUUAGCUAGUUGGUGAGGUAACGGCUCACCAAGGCCACGAUGCAUAGCCGACCUGAGAGGGUGAUCGGCCACAUUGGGACUGAGACACGGCCCAAACUCCUACGGGAGGCAGCAGUAGGGAAUCUUCGGCAAUGGACGAAAGUCUGACCGAGCAACGCCGCGUGAGUGAAGAAGGUUUUCGGAUCGUAAAACUCUGUUGUUAGAGAAGAACAAGGAUGAGAGUAACUGUUCAUCCCUUGACGGUAUCUAACCAGAAAGCCACGGCUAACUACGUGCCAGCAGCCGCGGUAAUGCGUAGGUGGCAAGCGUUGUCCGGAUUUAUUGGGCGUAAAGCGAGCGCAGGCGGUUUCUUAAGUCUGAUGUGAAAGCCCCCGGCUCAACCGGGGAGGGUCAUUGGAAACUGGGAGACUUGAGUGCAGAAGAGGAGAGUGGAAUUCCAUGUGUAGCGGUGAAAUGCGUAGAUAUAUGGAGGAACACCAGUGGCGAAGGCGGCUCUCUGGUCUGUAACUGACGCUGAGGCUCGAAGCGUGGGGA